rnacentral:rRNA from 1 species
UCCUGGCUCAGAUUGAACGCUGGCGCAUGCCUUACACAUGCAAGUCGAACGGCAGCGGACCUUCGGGUGCCGGCGAGUGGCGAACGGGUGAGUAAUAUAUCGGAACGUACCUUUCAGUGGGGGAUAACGUAGCGAAAGUUACGCUAAUACCGCAUAUUCUGUGAGCAGGAAAGCAGGGGAUCGCAAGACCUUGCGCUGAUUGAGCGGCCGAUAUCAGAUUAGCUAGUUGGUGAGGUAAAGGCUCACCAAGGCGACGAUCUGUAGCGGGUCUGAGAGGAUGAUCCGCCACACUGGAACUGAGACACGGUCCAGACUCCUACGGGAGGCAGCAGUGGGGAAUUUUUGGACAAAUGGGCGCAAGCCUGAUCCAGCCAUGCCGCGUGAGUGAAGAAGGCCUUCGGGUUGUAAAGCUCUUUCGGCCGGGAAGAAAUCGCACAGGUUAAUACCCUGUGUGGAUGACGGUACCGGAAUAAGAAGCACCGGCUAACUACGUG